GAGAAGAACGUAGCGAAAUGCGAUAAGUAGUGUGAAUUGCAGAAUUCAGUGAAUCAUCGAAUCUUUGAACGCACAUUGCGCCCCUUGGUAUUCCAUGGGGCAUGCCUGUUCGAGCGUCAUCUACAACCCUCAAGCCCUGCUUGGUGUUGGGCGUCUGUCCCGCCCCCGCGCGCGGACUCGCCCCAAAUCCAUUGGCGGCGGCCCUUGCCUCCCUCUCGCGUAGCACAUUGCGCUUCUCGAGGCGUCGCGGGCCGCGCUCCACGAAGCACGCAAACCAGUCUUUGACCUCGGAUCAGGUAGGGAUACCCGCUGAACUUAAGCAUAUCAAUAAGCGGAGGA
rnacentral:misc_RNA from 1 species